GCUAACGGCCAUCCCACCCUCAGCAUGCCCGAUCUCGUCUGAUCUCGGAAGGUAAGCAGUGUCGGGCCUGGUUAGUACUUGGAUGGGAGACACCCUGGGAAUACCAGGUGCUGUAAGCU
ensembl:rRNA 5S_rRNA 5S ribosomal RNA